rnacentral:rRNA from 1 species
CUACGGGGUGCACCAGUGGGGAAUAUUGGACAAUGGGGGAAACCCUGAUCCAGCAAUGCCGCGUGUGUGAAGAAGGCCUGCGGGUUGUAAAGCACUUUCGGUUGGGAGGACUGCUUCUAGCACUAAUAUUGUUGGAAGUUGACGUUACCUUCAGAAGAAGCACCGGCUAACUCCGUGCCAGCAGCCGCGGUAAUACGGAGGGUGCAAGCGUUACUCGGAAUCACUGGGCGUAAAGGACGCGUAGGCGGCUAGAUCAGUCGGGUGUGAAAGCCCCGGGCUUAACCUGGGAACUGCAUCCGAUACUGUCUAGCUUGAGUACAGGAGAGGAGAGUGGAAUUCCACAUGUAGCGGUGAAAUGCGUAGAUAUGUGGAGGAACACCAAUGGCGAAGGCAGCUCUCUGGCCUGAUACUGACGCUGAGGUGCGAAAGCAUGGGGAGCAAACAGGAUUAGAUACCCUGGUAGUC